CAAAAAAUAGCUUAAACAAAGCGUUCAGCUUACAAUUGAACAAUGUCAGUGCAAACCCGACCUUUUUGA
rnacentral:tRNA from 1 species